rnacentral:rRNA from 1 species
GAUGAACGCUGGCGGCGUGCCUAAUACGUGCAAGUCGAGCGAACAGACGAGGCUCUUGCUCCUCUGACGUUAGCGGCGGACGGGUGAGUAACACGUGGAUACCCUACCUAUAAGACUGGGAUAACUUCGGGAAACCGGAGCUAAUACCGGAUAAUAUAUUGAACCGCAUGGUUCAAUAGUGAAAGACGGUUUUGCUGUCACUUAUAGAUGGAUCCCGGCCGCAUUAGCUAGUUGGUACGGUAACGGCUUACCAAGGCAACGAUGCGUAGCCGAACUGAGAGGGUGAUCGGCCACACUGGAACUGAGACACGGUCCAGACUCCUACGGGAGGCAGCAGUAGGGAAUCUUCCGCAAUGGGCGAAAGCUUGACGGAGCAACGCCGCGUGAGUGAUGAAGGUCUUCGGAUCGUAAAACUCUGUUAUGAGGGAAGAACAAAUGUGUAAGUAACUAUGCACGUCUUGACGGUACCUAAUCAGAAAGCCACGGCUAACUACGUG